GUGAGGAAUAUUGCGCAAUGGAGGCAACUCUGACGCAGCCAUGCCGCGUGCAGGAAGAAGGCGCUACGCGUUGUAAACUGCUUUUAACCGGGAAGAAACCCCAGGACGUGUCCUGGGUUGACGGUACCGGAGGAAUAAGCACCGGCUAACUUCGUGCCAGCAGCCGCGGUAAUACGAAGGGUGCAAGCGUUAUCCGGAUUCAUUGGGUUUAAAGGGUGCGUAGGCGGAGCGUUAAGUCAGUGGUGAAAUCCUGCAGCUUAACUGUAGACUUGCCAUUGAGACUGGCGCUCUUGAGUGCGCUUGAAGUGGGCGGAAUGUGCCGUGUAGCGGUGAAAUGCUUAGAUAUGGCACAGAACACCAAUUGCGAAGGCAGCUCACUAAGGCGAUACUGACGCUGAGGCACGAAAGCGUGGGGAUCGAACAGGAUUAGAAACCCGGGUAGUCC
rnacentral:rRNA from 1 species